CAUCCUUGCCCAGAACUUCUUCACCUCACCAUAUAAAGUGGAAAGGAAGGCAAGGAGAAAAUAAAACUCCUCAACCAAGUGGAAAACGAUGUCAUAUUUGCAAGAGAGAUCUCUCAUUCACACCAGAAGGCCCCAUCUACCAGCCAGAGAAACCAAUAACUGUUGCUGUAUUGCCAUGCGGCCACCACUUUCAUGAUUCCUGCUUGCAGCGCAUCACUCCUCUAAACCAAGCUCAAGAUCCUCCAUGUAUCCCAUGUGCCAUGAGUGACAAGGACUAGCUCUCAUCAAAAGCUCAAGCUAAUAAUGAGAAUGAUUAGAUUGGCCAUUUGUAAGGUAAGUGUUUAGGGCCU
rnacentral:misc_RNA from 1 species